rnacentral:rRNA from 1 species
CACGUAGGGCGCAAGCGUUGUCCGGAAUUAUUGGGCGUAAAGAGCUCGUAGGCGGCCUGUCGCGUCGGUUGUGAAAGCCCGGGGCUCAACCCCGGGUCUGCAGUCGAUACGGGCAGGCUAGGGUUCGGUAGGGGAGACUGGAAUUCCUGGUGUAGCGGUGAAAUGCGCAGAUAUCAGGAGGAACACCGGUGGCGAAGGCGGGUCUCUGGGCCGAUACUGACGCUGAGGAGCGAAAGCGUGGGGAGCGAACAGG